UGAGUGUAUACUACCUUUCACAAACACGAUAAUAAUACAAGUAGGGUUCGAGUGUAUUAAGUAUAUUGCUGUUUAUACGUGUGAGUGUGUAGUUACUUUCUUCUGACACAUAAAUAUUAAGUAUUUUCUAUAAAAUAUGUGCUAUGUGUAUGAGAUAAAGUUGUUUAUAUGUGUGGGUGUAACACGGGUAUAAUACAAGUAUUGUUUGAAUGUAUGACGUAUAUGUUUAGGAGAGUGAGUGGUUACUUCCUUCCAACACAUAAAUAUGAAGUAUUUGUUAUAAAAUACGUGCUAUGUGUUUAUAUAUUGUUAUUUAUUUGAGAUGAGUAUGGAAUGAAUGUCUUAUAUAGUUUUUAAAUGAGUUAAACUGUAUAUGUAUUCCAUAUCUACAAAUAUGUUGGGUAGAACAUGGGUAGAUGAGAUAGUUGGUAUGUGAUAGAUUGAUGAUGUAUGUAAGAUGAUCAAGAAUGAUAUUGGCAGAUGCACCAAUUAGAGAAUGUCAUAAUACUAGCAGAUGCGCUCAAGCAUAGUAUUGGUAGAUGCACCAAAGAGAAAGUGUCAUAAUACUAGUAGAUGUACUUAAUGUAUAGUAUUGGUAGAUGCACCAAGUAGUGAAUGUCGUGAUCUUGGCAGAUGCGCCAAAUAGAGAUUGUCAUAACAAUAGCAGAUGCGCUUAUAGGAUAAUCUUGGCAGAUGCGCUUAUAAGAUAAUGUCGGCAGAUGUGCCUAAAAGAGAAUGUCAUAAACCUGGCAGUCGCGCCUCAUAGUGUAUGACGUAAUCCUGGCAGAGGCGCUUAAAGGAUAAUGUUGGCAGAUGCGCCUUAUGUAGCAAUGGAAGUUUGUGUAAAUUCCUUAGGUCAAUCCUUAGGAAUGAAGGAAUGACGAGUAGUUGAAUUCCUAGGGUAAAAUCCUAAGAAACAUAAUAGGGAUGAGUAAUUGAGUUGAUUGUUUGAUGGUUGAAUAUAAUAAUUGUAUUAUUGUGGGUUGAAAACCCUAUAUGCUCACCAGGCUCCCAAGCCUGACCCACUCAGUUUUCUUUGCAUUACAGGUAAUGGCACAAGAGUAUAAGUUGGUGGAC
rnacentral:lncRNA from 1 species